rnacentral:snRNA from 1 species
AUCGCUUCUCGGCCUUUUGGCUAAGAUCAAGUGUGGUUUAGUACCUUUGGAGUUUGAAUGAGUAGAUGAAUCUCCUGGGAUAAUGUUGAAAGGUAGGGCAGGGAGCCUCAAGAAUCUGCAUUUUAUUGUAUUUUAUUUUUAUUUUUGUGGUAUUGGGGAUUGAACACAGGGCCUUCACAUUGAGCUAUAUCCCCAGCCUGUAUACAUUUUUAUUUUGAAACAGAGUUCCA